AAUAGAUACCCCGGUAGUCCAUGCCGUAAACGUUGGGCACUAGGUGUGGGGGACAUUCCACGUUUUCCGCGCCGUAGCUAACGCAUUAAGUGCCCCGCCUGGGGAGUACGGCCGCAAGGCUAAAACUCAAAGGAAUUGACGGGGGCCCGCACAAGCGGCGGAGCAUGCGGAUUAAUUCGAUGCAACGCGAAGAACCUUACCAAGGCUUGACAUGGACCGGAUCGCUGCAGAAAUGUGGUUUCUCCUUUUGGGGCCGGUUCACAGGUGGUGCAUGGUUGUCGUCAGCUCGUGUCGUGAGAUGUUGGGUUAAGUCCCGCAACGAGCGCAACCCUCGUUCCAUGUUGCCAGCACGUGAUGGUGGGGACUCAUGGGAGACUGCCGGGGUCAACUCGGAGGAAAGUGGGGACGACGUCAAAUCAUCAUGCCCCUUAUGUCUUGGGCUUCACGCAUGCUACAAUGGCCGGUACAAAGGGUUGCGAUACUGUGAGGUGGAGCUAAUCCCAAAAAGCCGGUCUCAGUUCGGAUUGGGGU
rnacentral:rRNA from 1 species